AGGGUUGGUUCGAGUGGCUGAAGACGGCCGUCUGAAAAACGGCAAGCCCUGAAAGGGGCUCGCGAGUUCGAAUCUCGCACCCUCCA
rnacentral:tRNA from 1 species